rnacentral:rRNA from 1 species
GUCAGGUGGGGCUACCCGCUGAGUUUAAGCAUAUAAAUAAGCGGAGGAGAAGAAACUUACGAGGAUUCCCUUAGUAACGGCGAGCGAACCGGGAUCAGCCCAGCUUGAGAAUCGGGCGAUUGCGUCGUCUGAAUUGUAGUCUGGAGAAGCGUCCUCAGCGACGGACCGGGCCCAAGUCCCCUGGAAAGGGGCGCCGGGGAGGGUGAGAGCCCCGUCCG